AACGAACGCUGGCGGCAUGCCUAACACAUGCAAGUCGAACGAGACCUUCGGGUCUAGUGGCGCACGGGUGCGUAACGCGUGGGAACCUGCCCUUAGGUUCGGAAUAACUCCCCGAAAGGGGUGCUAAUACCGGAUAAUGUCUUCGGACCAAAGAUUUAUCGCCUUUGGAUGGGCCCGCGUUGGAUUAGCUAGUGGGUAGGGUAAAAGCCUACCAAGGCGACGAUCCAUAGCUGGUCUGAGAGGAUGAUCAGCCACACUGGGACUGAGACACGGCCCAGACUCCUACGGGAGGCAGCAGUGGGGAAUAUUGGACAAUGGGCGAAAGCCUGAUCCAGCAAUGCCGCGUGAGUGAUGAAGGCCUUAGGGUUGUAAAGCUCUUUUACCCGGGAUGAUAAUGACAGUACCGGGAGAAUAAGCUCCGGCUAACUCCGUG
rnacentral:rRNA from 1 species